rnacentral:lncRNA from 1 species
GUGUUGGGACCGCAGGUGUAUGUCAUCAUGUUUGUUGGUGCAGCGCUGGGGAUUGAGCUCACAGCUCCAUGCAUGCCAGGGAACUGGAAUGUGCUAUGUUUAGUGAUCCCUGACUACUGUGCUGACCCCAGUGUCCUUCACACCUCUCCCAUCACACCCUUUCUGUGGUGGCUGGGAAUGCUGGGUUCUGAAGACAUCCUGAAUAUUGAGCCAAGAAGCCUUGCUGUGACUGAAGGGUCCCACUUUGGCUUUCUGAGUUCUGGAUUACAAGACAAUGCUGCCACACCUGACAUGAGGUUCGAAUUUUGCUUCAAGAACUUACUCAAAUGCCAGCACUCCUUCAUGGUCUUCAGAGGAUGGACAAUUCUUCCAAGCAACUUGCCUUUGGUCAAAAACUUCUGCCUAUUUGUGGGCUAUUUGCUGGGCGUCUGUCCAUGAGGGUGACUGUUGUAGACAUGUAGACCAUUCUAGGAGCUUUUUAGCCAUGUGGGAGGACAUUAAAACAAAACUCACUUUGCUGUU